GACGAACGCUGGCGGCGUGCUUAACACAUGCAAGUCGAACGGAAAGGCCCUGCUUUUGUGGGGUGCUCGAGUGGCGAACGGGUGAGUAACACGUGAGUAACCUGCCCUUGACUUUGGGAUAACUUCAGGAAACUGGGGCUAAUACCGGAUAGGAGCUCCUGCUGCAUGGUGGGGGUUGGAAAGUUUCGGCGGUUGGGGAUGGACUCGCGGCUUAUCAGCUUGUUGGUGGGGUAGUGGCUUACCAAGGCUUUGACGGGUAGCCGGCCUGAGAGGGUGACCGGCCACAUUGGGACUGAGAUACGGCCCAGACUCCUACGGGAGGCAGCAGUGGGGAAUAUUGCACAAUGGGCGGAAGCCUGAUGCAGCAACGCCGCGUGCGGGAUGACGGCCUUCGGGUUGUAAACCGCUUUCGCCUGUGACGAAGCGUGAGUGACGGUAAUGGGUAAAGAAGCACCGGCUAACUACGUGCCAGCAGCCGCGGUGAUACGUAGGGUGCGGGCGUUGUCCGGAUUUAUUGGGCGUAAAGGGCUCGUAGGUGGUUGAUCGCGUCGGAAGUGUAAUCUUGGGGCUUAACCCUGAGCGUGCUUUCGAUACGGGUUGACUUGAGGAAGGUAGGGGAGAAUGGAAUUCCUGGUGGAGCGGUGGAAUGCGCAGAUAUCAGGAGGAACACCAGUGGCGAAGGCGGUUCUCUGGGCCUUUCCUGACGCUGAGGAGCGAAAGCGUGGGGAGCGAACAGGCUUAGAUACCCUGGUAGUCCACGCUGUAAACGGUGGGUACUAGGCGUGGGGUCCAUUCCACGGGUUCCGUGCCGUAGCUAACGCUUUAAGUACCCCGCCUGGGGAGUACGGCCGCAAGGCUAAAACUCAAAGGAAUUGACGGGGCCCCGCACAAGCGGCGGAGCAUGCGGAUUAAUUCGAUGCAACGCGUAGAACCUUACCUGGGUUUGACAUGGAUCGGGAGUGCUCAGAGAUGGGUGUGCCUCUUUUGGGGUCGGUUCACAGGUGGUGCAUGGCUGUCGUCAGCUCGUGUCGUGAGAUGUUGGGUUAAGUCCCGCAACGAGCGCAACCCUUGUUCACUGUUGCCAGCACGUUAUGGUGGGGACUCAGUGGAGACCGCCGGGGUCAACUCGGAGGAAGGUGGGGAUGACGUCAAGUCAUCAUGCCCCUUAUGUCCAGGGCUUCACGCAUGCUACAAUGGCUGGUACAGAGAGUGGCGAGCCUGUGAGGGUGAGCGAAUCUCGGAAAGCCGGUCUCAGUUCGGAUUGGGGUCUGCAACUCGACCUCAUGAAGUCGGAGUCGCUAGUAAUCGCAGAUCAGCAACGCUGCGGUGAAUACGUUCCCGGGGCU
rnacentral:rRNA from 1 species